UCCCCUCACCGAAUCCUAUCGUCCCCUCCCAACUCCCCUCUUCCCUGCUCCACGACCCACGCCGCACCACCUCCACAUCCCACCCUGCCACCGCACCACCUCCCUCCCCCGUGCCGCCGGACCCCCUCCCUCCCUGCACCGCCGCACCUCCUCCCACGCGCGCCAUCGCACCACCUCCCGCCCCGCACCACCGCAGCAGCUCCUCCUGCCGGCCACCGCUGCUACCUACUAGCACGGGGAGGGAGUGCUCCGCCAGGCUUCCGUCGGCGAGAUGGGGUGUAGGAGGUGCAUCCACCUCCGUAUAGCACUUCGGCGCAUGGAUCCAGUCGUCGCCCUAUCAGAUCCAGCCGGCCAUGUUCCCCUGCAGCCGAGGGAUUUCGAGCGGCCGCCCCCAGCCCCAGCGCCGCCGAGGGCAGCCGUAAUCUCCCGACACGGUGGCCUCCCUGUCCCCGUUCCGUGCGGAUCCAGUGAGUCCCGCAACCGGCGCCCCCAACCCCAGAAUCCUUGCCGCGGCGCCGCCCUGGAGGCGUUGCAGGCGCUGCGCCCUGCUUCCCCCUGUGACUCUCCGAGGCUGGAUGGAGCGGGAGGAGCUCCACCUUGCGUCUCCCGGGUAGAUCCAUCACCGGCACCAGGAGGCCACCUACCUUCCUCUCUCGAUCUUCUCUGCAGCCGAGCACAAGGAGCGCCUCCCAGUGAGCACGGGCUUCGGCCGUGGGAUCUCAACCCUCCCUCUGUCAUGGAUCCUCGCUGGGGCAGCAUGGUAAUGCAGUCCGGCAUGCGCGCGCGUGCAGCACGAUUGUGUUGGCGAGGCAGCUCGUGUAAUUCCUUCAGCUAGUGGAGCGUUGACCUUUAGUUCAGAAAGAAAAUGUUCAGAUUUUGCCGAUGCAGUGCGGUGUGAAAUUCAAAUGUGUGUAUGCUGGCGUCAACGAGCCUCCGGAAGUAGCUCUCUGCUCAACUUGUUGCGGUUCCCUGGCGGCGGGAGGGAAGUGCACUGCUAUAGGGUGCUCUCCUUUACGGGGGCAGGCGGUCAGCCGCUGCGGUGCAGCUCAAAAACAUGUGCCAGACGGUUCGGUGCUUUGGCCAGGAUGGCGACGAGUGCUGCUCCGGGUCAACGCCAUUGUGCCUCCUUCUGCCGAGUGCAGUACUCACCUCACCGCGCUGUAGUCCGUAUUUCCAGUGCAUGCAGCUCGCAACCCGCCAAUGUACCGUCUAGCAAAAAUUCUGCAGUGCACUUGCCCAUGAGAAGUUCACUUCUUUUUCUAAUGCACUUUGUUUCGUUUGUGGCUCUCGUAAACAUGCAUAGAAGAAAAGUAAAAAAAAUUAAGUGCAGCUCACUUGUUUCA